CUGCUAGGAAAUUAGAGCCAAGAGAAGGACAGCAGUAAGGCUGAGGCAACCCAGCUGCAGGUGAAGCGCUGCCCAGACUGAACCCCUCCCUGAAGGAACUGUGGAUUGGAAGAGGAAGAAACAACAACAAAAUCGUCAAAAAUGAAAGCAAAGACUCUGCUUUCCCAACAUUAGAAUAUAUUUGGGAACAGAUCACUUCAAUCAUUUUUGCCCUCUAGUUCAUUGAUUCUGCAUGUCUCGGAGGGAAAGCUGAAGAUGGAUGCUCAUUAUCUUCUGUCCUUAAGAGACUGGUAGCGGUUACUGUCUCCUAGUCGAGAGUGACAGACUGCGUAUUGAAAUCACUCCUCUGAAUUUGCAAUGAUUUCUCACUGGGAAUAGCAAGUACACUAAUAAGUACCAAGAAACAAGACCAGGAAUAACUGUGAAUGACUUGAGUGUGGUUUUUAAGUGCAACCAGACCAUCACCAGUCUUGUAGGUGCUCGUGGGUGUCCAAGAUGCCAAAGUUUGUUUUUCCCUCUGCACGAUGACUGCAUGGGUAGAAGAAUGAAGCUGGUGACAUGUAGCUCCAUUUCCAGUGCUGUCCAGGAUUGCUGUCUCGGGUAGCAGUGCCAGCAGGACAGGGAGCAGGACACCAACCAGUUGUCCUGCACAUCCCAUGGAAGGAACUUGGCUCUGACAGUACAGCAGGUUCAUCUCCUGGCCAACAUCCAGUGCUGUUGAUGGAUCUUUGGAGGUGGUCACCUGUCUAGUUUUUGAUGAAGGAGGUCAUGGUCAUGGGAACCUGCCUGCAUGUCUAAUGACAGGUGACUUCAUCAUACUGUGAUAGAUGAUGCUUUCAGCACUAAGGCAUGAGACUACGCACUUCUGUAUGCUUUCCAGCUCCAUAGUCAUGGCACUUGGRCCAGGAGUUGCUGUCUGUGUCUUUUCAUGGUGACUCUAGUAAACCUGGUAUGACCAGCCUUUUCUGCUGUGCUUUGAAUGGAACUUCUGCAUGAAUAUAGCAAAAUAUCUCUGUCUUCCUCAUAAAAUAUCAGCACCCUACUGAGAUAAUAUUGAAAGGUGUGUGAUGAGGAAGGAGAUUGCUAAUAUUGUCUCAACUUCUUUGCACAGCUUGUCCUACUGUUAUCUGGGRAGAGAGUCCUAACUUGCAGCCCAUUAAUUUUAUUUCCUUUUUAUAUGCCUAGACCAAAUUUUUGCUAGUUGUUUUGCAGAGAUUCAAGGGAAGUAAUCAACAAUAGCACAYUACGUGGUGCAGCACGUUGCAAACAAUAGGACAUUUGUGAAUUAAAGAUAAUUAGUAGCUUAAAUGAUCAAAGUGGUUUAUCAAAGGGCGAAAUACCUGUGCUGACUGGAAAGCUUUGAAGGUAUCAGCCCAUUAACACCCAUUAAAUCUAUGACAGGCAGGCUGUGCUAAGCAAGGAGCAGGCCUUGCAGCGUAUUCCAAACUAUGUGAGGUACAAUAGCUUUCUCUCUGAAGCAGUGACAAUCGAUU